CCUACGGGAGGCAGCAGUGGGGAAUAUUGCACAAUGGGCGCAAGCCUGAUGCAGCGACGCCGCGUGAGGGAUGACGGCCUUCGGGUUGUAAACCUCUUUCAGUAGGGAAGAAGCGAAAGUGACGGUACCUGCAGAAGAAGCGCCGGCUAACUACGUGCCAGCAGCCGACGGUAAUACGUAGGGCGCAAGCGUUAUCCGGAAUUAUUGGGCGUAAAGAGCUCGUAGGCGGUUUGUCGCGUCUGCCGUGAAAGUCCGGGGCUCAACUCCGGAUCUGCGGUGGGUACGGGCAGACUAGAGUGAUGUAGGGGAGACUGGAAUUCCUGGUGUAGCGGUGAAAUGCGCAGAUAUCAGGAGGAACACCGAUGGCGAAGGCAGGUCUCUGGGCAUUAACUGACGCUGAGGAGCGAAAGCAUGGGGAGCGAACAGGAUUAGAUACCCUGGUAGUCCAUGCCGUAAACGUUGGGCACUAGGUGUGGGGGACAUUCCACGUUUUCCGCGCCGUAGCUAACGCAUAAGUGCCCGCCUGGGGAGUACGGCCGCAAGGCUAAAACUCAAAGAAUUGACGGCUGAGAGNGCGAGACGACGACGAGGGAGAGG
rnacentral:rRNA from 1 species